AAAUAAAGUAAUUAUUAAGUUUCUGAACUUGGCAGCUCCGAAGCAUUCCGAGCUCAUUUUCGGACGUUGAAGUUCAUGCAGAAAUAUGGGUUCAAGAACGCAUUUGCGGUGAAUUUCUUCCAUGGGGAAUGGGAACAAUGGGCACCAGGACCCGAGGAAGAAGCAGAAAUGCUUACCACACCAUCGCCACUUCCAACAACGACAAAAGGUUAUUGGGACUAAACUAGGCAUCGAUGAUGACACACAAGAGCCCCAAUGAACAACGUUUCCGACCUUUACAAUCAUCUUCAUCUUUGCCAACGCUGGAGUCUCUUUCAGCCACCGCCGUAUUGGUAUGGAAUUUCGAUGAUAGGCCGGUGAAUUUUCAGUUCAAAGAGCAAAACAGCUAGGAAAUAGAGAAAAUAAUAAAAUCAUUUUGAAAACAAAUAAAAUUUAAUAAAAAGCAUUUAAAAGACAA